ACGCUGUAAACGAUGAAUACUAGGUGUGGGAGGUAACCACGCGUUACUGAUGCGCCGAAGAGAAAUCGUGAAACGCACCACCUGGGAAGUACGGUCGCAAGGCUGAAACUUAAAGGAAUUGGCGGGGGAGCACCACAACAGGUGGAGCCUGCGGUUUAAUUGGAUUCAACGCCGGACAUCUCACCGGAUAAGACAGCUGAAUGAUUGUCAAUCUGAAGGUUUUACAUGACUAGCUGAGAGGUGGUGCAUGGCGUCAGUGACU
rnacentral:rRNA from 1 species